rfam:Ovis aries breed Texel unplaced genomic scaffold TnplacedScaffold_004083995.1, whole genome shotgun sequence.
UCCUUGGUGGUCCAGUGGCAAGGACUCUGCACUCCCAAUGCAGGGGGUUUGCGUUCUAUCUCUGGUCAGGGAA